GUCCACGCCGUAAACGAUGGGUGCUAGGUGUGGGAGGUGUCGACUCCUUCCGUGCCGUAGCUAACGCAUUAAGCACCCCGCCUGGGGAGUACGGCCGCAAGGCUAAAACUCAAAGGAAUUGACGGGGCCCCGCACAAGCAGCGGAGCAUGUUGUUUAAUUCGAUGCAACGCGAAGAACCUUACCAGGGCUUGACAUGCACUGGAAAUCCGUAGAAAUACGGCCCUCCUUCGGGACCAGUGCACAGGUGGUGCAUGGCUGUCGU
rnacentral:rRNA from 1 species